rnacentral:sRNA from 1 species
UGAGUCUGCGUAAACGUCUCAGAGGCCCU